rnacentral:rRNA from 1 species
AUUGAACGCUGGCGGCAUGCUUUACACAUGCAAGUCGAACGGUAACAGGCCGCAAGGUGCUGACGAGUGGCGAACGGGUGAGUAAUGCAUCGGAACGUGCCCAGUCGUGGGGGAUAACUGCUCGAAAGAGCAGCUAAUACCACAUACGAUCUAUGGAUGAAAGCGGGGGACCGUAAGGCCUCGCGCGAUUGGAGCGGCCGAUGUCAGAUUAGGUAGUUGGUGGGGUGAAGGCUCACCAAGCCAACGAUCUGUAGCUGGUCUGAGAGGACGACCAGCCACACUGGGACUGAGACACGGCCCAGACUCCUACGGGAGGCAGCAGUGGGGAAUUUUGGACAAUGGGGGCAACCCUGAUCCAGCAAUGCCGCGUGCAGGAAGAAGGCCUUCGGGUUGUAAACUGCUUUUGUACGGAACGAAACGGUCUGGGUUAAUACCCUGGGCUAAUGACGGUACCGUAAGAAUAAGCACCGGCUAACUACGUGCCAGCCGCCGCUGUAAGAC